GCAGAGUAGAAACCCGCGCGUUAGGCAAAGCGGCAAUGGCGCCGCUUUGCUGCAGUGCCUGACCAACGGGGAGUUGUGGCAGGACGAAGAUGCAGGGCAGGGGAGUGCAAUGUGCACGCCGCUGCCGGCACGCGGUGCUGGUUUCGCAUCCCACUGC
rnacentral:ncRNA from 1 species